GGGCCGGUAGAUUAGCCCGGCAGAUCGCAUGGUUUGCAUCCAUGAGGCCGCGAGUUCAAAUCUCGCCCGGUCCACCA
rnacentral:tRNA from 2 species